rnacentral:lncRNA from 1 species
AUGAGUUACUCAAAUCCACCGAGCACUAUAAAUGAUCGAUUCAUAUCCUCUAGUUCAACGUCAGAUAAGAAUAAAAACCAUAUUUCUCAUUCAACUGAGAAAAUACAACACCUGACUCCGAGUACAGAACAAUAUUUUUACACCGGCCCGAGCACAGAGAAAAAAUACUUUUCAAAUUACCAGACGCCUACCACCGAGAAACUUCAUUAUCCAAGUUAUACAACUGAUAAGCAGCACUCCCCCACAGGAACUACAGAAAAUAAAUAUUUCUCAUCCCUUAGUUCCCCUAGUUCCUUAGUAGAAAAUAAUGGGCAACCUAAUUUAUCUACUGAGGGAAGUUAUGUUACAAUAUCAACUUCAGAAAAACACUAUUUGACGAACUCAAUUAAAGAUAAAAUAAAAAAUUCAACGCCGAGUCCCGAUAAAACUUCGCAAUCCUCUCAAAACACAAACACACACUCAAGUUCGACUAAUAAUAAAUACACGCCUUUUGGACACAGUUCAGAAAAACCAAUGCAUCCGUCACAAAAUACCGAUAGAAAUAAUUACGUGAUGCACAGCACUGAAAAAUAUGUGCAUACGCUCUCCAAUUCAAAUAAAUUUGAUCACGCACCUUUAUCCUCCAUCAAAACAGAUCUAGUUAGUUCCACAGAGAAGUUCAGUCCUGUCUCCUUUUCUGCAAAACCAUCUUCGACGACAAACAAAUACUAUACGACACCAAAACCGGAGUAUCCUUCUUUCAGCUCUGAAAAAUUACAAGCCAUACAUAACUCAUCGCCGAGUUUCUAUUACAUGAAAGAAUCAACUGCAUCACCCUCAGUCACAUCGACAACUUAUUCUACUCCAUUUAAAACACAAUCUAUCUCUUUGAACGAUGAAAUGGCUGCAUCAUUAUCAGAUGUUAUUUCUCAAAUGACUGCUCAACCUUCCGGUGUCACAAAUCACCUCUCGACGAUUCUAGUUCCGACAACAUCUAAAACGUCCAUUCAGUACCACUCGAGCUCAAAUAAGCAACCAGAUAAGUAUGCUACUAAAUUCGCCUCUCAUACGACACCGAUGGUAACAACAGCACCGAUCUCGCACAGUACAACAACCGCUCAACCAUAUUUCACAAAAACCACUACUUAUAAUAAACUUUCAACGUUCAACAAUUUCACCAAAAUAAAGCCAAUGUUCACGACUUCUAAUAGAAUUAAUCCAUCUACCACUCAUUCGCAGUUCCAAAAUAAGAUCUCUUCUCCUUACCCAUCAACCAUCGAUCAAACGAGAAAGCAACCCUCGUCAACGAAUAAAAUCGCUACAAAUGAUGUACCAUUCUCAUCCAGCUCAAAUAGGAUUGUGCAAUACAAUUAUUCUGCAGACUUUAGAAAUAAUCCUACGACAAUAUCUGCCGCAACAUCAUCACCGUCUGUUUCUACCGGUGCCACAGCCAGCUCCUCAAGAAAACCAGCAUCAUCUACCACAGAAGCACCAACAGUGAUCAUAGCCGCUACCACUACGUCAUCAACAACAACAUCAACCACCACAACAACU